rnacentral:rRNA from 1 species
GUGAAGCAUCCUGUUAAGUCAGGCAACGAGCGAGACCCACGCCCACAGUUGCCAGCGUACUCUCUGGAGUGACGGGUACACUGUGGGGACCGCCGCUGCUAAAGCGGAGGAAGGAAUGGGCAACGGUAGGUCAGUAUGCCCCGAAUAUCCCGGGCUACACGCGAGCUACAAUGGUUGGUACAAUGGGUAUCUACCCCGAAAGGGGACGGGAAUCUCCUAAAACCAAUCUUAGUUCGGAUUGAGGGCUGCAACUCGCCCUCAUGAAGCUGGAAUCCGUAGUAAUCGCGUUUCAACAGAACGCGGUGAAUACGUCCCUGCUCCUU